CCUACGGGAGGCAGCAGUGGGGGAUAUUGCACAAUGGGGGGAACCCUGAUGCAGCGACGCCGCGUGGGUGAAGGAGUGCUUCGGCAUGUAAAGCCCUAUCGGCAGGGAAGAAGCAAGACGGUACCUGACUAAGAAGCCCCGGCUAACUACGUGCCAGCAGCCGCGGUAAUACGUAGGGGGCGAGCGUUAUCCGGAUUCACUGGGUGUAAAGGGAGCGUAGACGGCCAAGCAAGCCAGGGGUGAAAGCCCGGGGCCCAACCCCGGGACUGCCCUUGGAACUGCAUGGCUGGAGUGCGGGAGGGGCAGGCGGAAUUCCUGGUGUAGCGGUGAAAUGCGUAGAUAUUAGGAGGAACACCAGUGGCGAAGGCGGCCUGCUGGACGACAACUGACGGUGAGGCGCGAAAGCGUGGGGAGCAAACGGGAUUAGAUACCCGGGUAGUC
rnacentral:rRNA from 1 species